AACGCACAUUGCGCCCGCCAGUACUCUGGCGGGCAUGCCUGUCCGAGCGUCAUUUCAACCCUCAGGGCCCGUCCGCGGGACCUGGUGUUGGGGAUCGGCCGCCCCUCGCGGCGGCCGGCCCCGAAAUCGAGUGGCGGUCACGUCGCGACCUCCUCUGCGUAGUAGAAACACCUCGCAGCUGGAUAGCGGCGCGGCCACGCCGUAAAACCCCAACUUCACCAAGGUUGACCUCGGAUCAGGUAGGAAUACCCGCUGAACUUAA
rnacentral:misc_RNA from 1 species